GGUUGCGAUCAUAACCAGCACUAAUGCACCGGAUCCCAUCAGAACUCCGCAGUUAAGCGUGCUUGGGCGAGAGUAGUACUAGGAUGGGUGACCCCCUGGGAAGUCCUCGUGUUGCAACCC
rnacentral:rRNA from 1 species